rnacentral:tRNA from 1 species
GCAGGCUUGGCAGAGUGGUCUAAUGCGCCAGAAUCAGGAUCUGGUAACUUCGGUUGCGGGAGUUCGAAUCUCCCAGCCUGCA